GGUGAUUCAUAGUAACCGAACGGAUCGCAUUAUGGUCAUUCUUUUGUAAUGGCUGGCGAUAGAUCAUUCAAGUUUCUGACCUAUCAGCUUUCGACGGUAGUGUAUUGGACUACCGUGGCAGUGACGGGUAACGGGGAAUUAGGGUUCGAUUCCGGAGAGGGAGCCUGAGAAACGGCUACCACAUCUAAGGAAGGCAGCAGGCGCGCAAAUUACCCAAUCCUGACUCAGGGAGGUAGUGACAAGAAAUAACAACACUGGAAAUUUUAUUUCUAGUGAUUGGAAUGAUGGGAAUUUAAACCCCUUUCAGAGUAACAAUUGGAGGGCAAGUCUGGUGCCAGCAGCCGCGGUAAUUCCAGCUCCAAUAGCGUAUAUUAAAGUUGUUGCAGUUAAAAAGCUCGUAGUUGGAUGUCUGCUGGAAGCAAUCAGUCCGCCCUAUUUGUAGGGUGUGCACUUGAUGAAUUCUGGCAUUUUUGUCCCAAUGAUGUAACGGGGCGGUGGUACUCGGUGAAAGCCGAGUAUCCUGUUUUCCGAUUAUUGGGAUACUGUUACUUUGAGAAAAUUAGAGUGUUUGAAGCAGGCUAAUUGCCUUGAAUACUGCAGCAUGGAAUAACAAUAUAGGAUUUCGGUUCUAUUUUGUUGGUUUCUAGGACUGAAAUAAUGAUUAAUAGGGACAGUUGGGGGCAUUCGUAUUUAACUGUCAGAGGUGAAAUUCUUAGAUUUGUUAAAGACGAACUACUGCGAAAGCAUUUGCCAAAGAUGUUUUCAUUAAUCAAGAACGAAAGUUAGGGGCUCGAAGACGAUCAGAUACCGUCGUAGUCUUAACCAUAAACUAUGCCGACUAGAGAUAGGAAAAUGUCAUUUUGCUGACUUCUCCUGCACCUUAUGAGAAAUC
rnacentral:rRNA from 1 species